rnacentral:rRNA from 1 species
CAGUGGUCAGUGGUCAGUGGUCGGUGGCCAGUAAAAACAAGUGAUCGUAACUGACCACUGACCACCGACCACUG